rnacentral:rRNA from 1 species
GUGAGGAAUUUUCCGCAAUGGGCGAAAGCCUGACGGAGCAAUGCCGCGUGAAGGAUGAAGGCCUAUGGGUUGUAAACUUCUUUUCUCAGAAAAGAAUUAUGACGGUAUCUGAGGAAUAAGCAUCGGCUAACUCUGUGCCAGCAGCCGCGGUAAGACAGAGGAUGCAAGCGUUAUCCGGAAUGAUUGGGCGUAAAGCGUCUGUAGGUUGUUUAAAAAGUAUUCUGUCAAAGAUUAGGGCUUAACCCUAGAUAGGCAGAAUAAACUUUUAAGCUAGAGUUUGGUAGAGGCAGAGGGAAUUCCCAGUGGAGCGGUGAAAUGCGUAGAUAUCGGGAGGAACACCAAAGGCGAAGGCACUCUGCUGGGCCAAUACUAACACUGAGAGACGAAAGCGAGGGGAGCAAAUGGGAUUAGAUACCCGUGUAGUCC